AUAGGCUGGGUGUGUAAGCGUAGCGAUACGUUGAGCUAACCAGUACUAAUGAACCGUGAGGCUUAACCUGACAACACCGAAGGUGUUU
rnacentral:rRNA from 1 species